GAUCAGCAAACUUAGCCUCCUGACCUCCAUCUUUCUCCCAUGCUAGAUGUUUCCUGCCCUCAAAUCUUGGACUCCAAGUUCAGUUUUGGGACUAGGACUGGCUUCCUUGCUCCUCAGCUUGAAGAUGGCCUAUUGUGAGACCUUGUGAUCAUUUCUCCUUCCUGCCACCCUGUGAAGAAGCUGCCUUGCUUCCUCUUCGCCUUCUGCCGUAAUUGUAAAUUUCCUGAGGCUUCCCUGGCCAUGCUGAACUAGUUUAACAGUUUCAUCACUGUCAAAUACGUCAUACUAAAAAAUGGAACAUCAGAAUCUUCAAAACACAUAGAAUUCAUUCAAUUCAAAAAUGAAGCAGUGUUUAUUUUAAUGCAACCUGGUGGAGCAAACCUUGCUAAACUUCAAGAAAGAGCAAAGUAAAAGAAAACAUAAAUAAAAUGAAUGAUGAGAGUUACACUUCCUGCUUCUUCACACCCCAUCGUUGACCUCCCUAGAAGAGAAAGGAUAACUGACUUGAUGUGGAAGACCAAUUGGGAGAAAGACUGUUUCUCUCUGCAGAACUAGAGAAGAAUGAAGUAAUGUUACAUAUUGAUCCCUGAAAACUGCAACAAAAUGAAGGAAUAAAUUACCCAAGGGCAUACAUUCUGUAAUCCAUAAGGACUGAACUUGAGCCCAAGUCUCCUGCUUUUGCUUGGUAGGCAAAGAGAUGAAAGGAAAGAAAAGAAGACAAAACAAUACCCAAAGGCAGGGUCCUUGUGAGGACAGGCUGAGAUUGGAGUGAUGCAUCUACUAGCCAAGGAACAUCAUGGAUUGCAGCUUCUAACCAGAAGCCCAGAGAGAGACAUGGGAUAGGUCCUCCCUCCGAGCCUCUGGAAGAAACACACUGCCAAUGCCUUGAUUUUGGAAUUCUGGCCCUCAGAAAUGUAUAGAAUGAAAACCUGUGAUCCAAGCUAUCUGGUUUUUGCAUUUGGACACCAUGGCAGUCAGUCUGAUCACCAAGAAGACUACUAAGUGACUAACAAGCUGGUUACAUAUACAGUUUGGAUACACUGUGUAAAGAGAUGACUCACGUCCAGGGUAAGACAAAGUGGAAUGGUACAACAUUUCAUCAGGCUACUUGGAACGGUAUGCAAUUUAAUACUUAUUAAUUUUUAAAUUUUGGAAAAUUUCAUUUAAUAUUUUUAGACUGUAGUUAACCCUUGUUUGCAAACCUGCAAGUCAGUAAAGACCGCUAUACACAUCCUAGAGCUAUACCAAUAUUUAUUGUAUCUCAUCACAUUUAUAAGGUGCUAUUUAUUAUCCCUAUGCAAAAAUCUUUAUAAGCAUUUUUGAUUAAGCCUAUAUUUGAAUUAUCUAAACAUUGAAUUUUAAUACGUUUAAACAAUUAUAGAGAUUUCCAAAUUUCUCCAGGCCAGGAAUGGUGGCUCACGCCUGUAAUCCCAGCACUUUGAGAGGCCCGAGGUGGGCAGAUCGUGAGGUCAGGAGUUCAAGACCAACCUGACUAACAUGGUGAAACCUCGUCUCUACUAAAAAUAGAAAAAUUAGCCUGGCGUGUUGGCAUAUGCCUGUAAUCCAAGCUACUCAGGAGGCUGAGGCAGGAGAAUUGCUUGAACCUGGGAGGCAGUGGAGGGGGAGGUUUCAGUGAGCCGAGAUUGCACCACUGCACUCCAGCCUGGGCAACAGAGCAAGACUCUGUCUCAACAACAACAACAAAAACAAACCUGAUAUUCCCACUAGUAGUUAAUUGUGAUAGAACUUUGAAAAGGAGCAACAUUAUAUUGUAUGUUUACAAUCUGUACAAACUAUCAGUAUGAACAAUACUUUUAGUUUGUAUAGAUUGUAAAUAUAAAAGGGGUGCUUUUGGAAACAAAAAGAAGUGUUUUAUAAUUUAAUAUUCAUACUUCUGUUAUGAUCCCGAUGUUGUUUGUUGUUUCAGUUCCUAAAGCUUAGAAUGUCAACUGAGAAUCAGUGAAAGCUUACCCCUCAGUAGGUAUUAUUCCCACUAAUAUUUUCCUUCAUUAGGGUAGAAAAUCAGAAGUUGACUGCAAAAACGUAUCUAUCUUAGAUUAAUCUCAUACGUAUGUAGAGAUAAUGAAAUUUAAAUGUGUUUUUCAUAACCUAUGGGAUUUCUGGGAUUUCAAUAGGAAAAAGAUUAUAUAGCUAGACACAAUGCAAUUAUAUUUUCAUCAAACCUAUUUGGCUACUUUGCAAUAAUUAUCAAAAAUUUUUUUAAAUUCAAAUAUUUAGUUCAAAUAUUAAUUGGUAAGGGUAAAAAGACAAUUUAUGAAAAAUUAUUUCUAAUUAAAUAUUAUCUGUAUUCUUUCAUAUUAGUUUUUAAAGGUAAAACAAAAUAAUGAGUCUAGGCAGCUAAAAGAUAAAAUUUGUUAAUUUUAUCAACUAAGAAUGAUAAAUAUGGUUGGGUUUACCCAAUAGGGAAUAGGGUAUAAAUGUUUUGUUUAUUUUUUGAGUUUUUAAUUCAUUUUAAUAACACCUAAUGAAUUUAUAUAAAACAUCCAGUUUCCAAAUUCUUUUAAGAGUAUAAUGUGUAUCUGAGAAUUUACUUCUUAAGGGCAAACCGGCCAUUAAAGACAAUUGGUAGGGUUGCAACUUCAUAAGAGAUUGGAAUGUUAUCUAAAGCAACAGAAAGCAAUGCAAUAACAAUCUCAGAAUCUUCCUUUUUCUAUCACUUUUGUGAAGAAACAUGAGGAAAAUAUAUUAUAGUCAAUGACAAAAUUAGGUCAUUUGGGAUGGGCUAUUAUUUAUGAAGCCCACGUCACUGUUUUCUCAAUGUUUUAAGCUGUGUCAAAAAUAAGGUCAAGUUCAGUAAGCUUACUUUUAUGUAAAAGAAUAAAAAAAGAUUGCUAGUAUAUUAAUAGUUUCUGAUACUUUUGUUUCUGUUUUUGUUUUGAGAUGGGGUCUCGCUCUGUCACCCAUGCCGGAGUGCAGUGGUGAGAUCUUCUUGGUGCACUGCAAGCUCCACCUCCUGAGUUCAAGUGAUUCUCCUGCUUCAGCCUCCUGAGUAGCUGGGACCACAGGCGCAUGCCACAAUGCCUGGUUAAUUUAUAUAUUUUUAGUAGAGAUACGGUUUCACCAUGUUGGCCAAGCUGGUCUCGAACUCGACCUCAGGUGAUCCGCCCGCCUCACCCUCCCAAAGUGCUGGGAUUAUAGGCAUGAGCCACUGUGCCCAGACAAUUUGUGGUACUUUCUAAGAAAUUUGAUCUCAAUUGAAAUUUUUUUUUUAAUAAAAUAAUAGAAAGCAGUCACUAAAAAGGAAAGUGGCAUAAAAGUUUGGACAUUAGUAUCAAAACAGCAGGAUGUGUAAUUUCAGAUAUCUUUAUGGAAUGUGUUGUUUAAAUUUACAUUUGUUACAAUAGUACAAUGGGUAUUAGUAUUAAGCAGGGCAUUUUUUAGAAAAAGAUUAUAUAGUUUAUUUGAUAAAUAUUAUACAGAUUUAUCACUUCUGUAGUUCAAUAGUUUAAAAAAGUUUAUAUUUAGCUAAUAUGUAACUCAUAGUUAUCUUUUUAAUAAUACCUUAAAUGAUCUAGUUAAAAAAUUGAUUAGUAUAGAGUGUGAAUUACCUGGUCUCACAAAACAGAGAAUAGAUGAAGGUAUUUCUGUUAAUCAAAUAAAUAAUAAACUUAUAAACAUGUUAUAUUUAAGACAAAGUUUAAUUUGUAGCAGGCAACGUACAUAUACAAUUACUAACUGCCUGCAAUUAUUGUGUUCUUUCUAUGUGUCAGGCACUGUUCAAAGCACUGUUCCUGUGUUAUAUUAUUUAAUUCUUGUUCAAGCCCCAUGAAGUUUUAUUAUUCUCAUUUUACAAGUGAAGAACCUGAUGCAAUGGGAGAUUUAUUCAUUUGUUCCAGGCCUGGAAACCUAGGAGGACCGAAUAAUUUUGUGUGCAAGAUCCAGAGCCUCAUGGCCCUACACAGCCUCAGGAUUCUGCUCCCCACAUCCCUGCUGCUCCGGCUCCAGUCAUGGCUCAACGAGGCCCAAGUACAGCACAGGCUGCCACUUCAGAGAAUGCACGCCAUAAGCCUUGGGGGCUUUUAUGUGGUGUCAAACCUACAGGUGCACAGAGUGCAAGACUGGUGGAUUCUUGGCAGCCUCCACCAAUUUUGAAGGAUGCAUGGAAAAUCCUAGAUGUCUAAGCAAAAGCCUGCUGCACAGGUAAAGCCCACACUGAGAACCUCUACUAGGGCAGUGUGGAGGGAAAAUGUGGUGUUGGAGGCUCUAUACAGAGUCCCAACCAGGACACUUCCUAGUGGAGCUGCGGGAAGAGGGCCAACAUCCUCCAGACCCAAGAAUGUUAAAUCUACCAGCAGCUUUCACCCUACACCUGAAAAUGCCACAGUCACUCAACUCCAGCCCAUGAGAGCAGUCUUGGAGGCUGCACCCUGCAAAUCCUCAGAAGCAGACCUGCUCAAGGACUUGGGAGCCUACCUCUUGUACCAGUGUGCCCUGGACAUGGGACAUGAAGUCAAAGGAGAAUAUUCUGGAACUUUAGGAUUUAAUGACUGCCCCACUGGGAUUGAAAUUUGCAUGAGGCCUGUAGCUCCUUUCUUUUGGUAGAUUACUCCCUUUUAGGAUGCCGAUGUCUAUCCAAUACCUAUAUCCCCAUUUUAUCUUGGAAGUAAAUAGCUUGUUUUAUAUUUUACAGGCUCAUAGGAGGAAGAGACUCACCUUGCCUCAGAUGAGAUUUGGGACUUUGGAUUUUUGAAUUAACGCUGGAAUAAGUUAAGACUUUAGGGGACAAAUGGGAAGGCAUGAUUGUGUUUUGAAUGUGAGAAGGACAUGAAACUUUGUGGGGGCAGGAGCAGAAUGAUGUACUUUGGAUAUUUGUUCCAUCAAAAUCUCACAUUGAAAUUGGACCUGGUGGGAAGUGAUUGGAUCAUGGAGGUGGAGUUCCCAUAAAUGGAGUAAGUUCUCACAAGAUUUGGUCAUUUAAAAGUGUAUGGCACCUCCGUGCCAUUAGUCUCUUGUUCCCAUUCUUGCCAUGUGAUGUGACUGCUCCACCUUCAUCUUCUGCCAUCAUGAUAAGUUUCCUGUGGCCUCCUAAGAAGCUGAGCAGAUGACAGUGCCAUGCUUCCUGUAAAGCCUGCAGAACCAUGAGUCUAAUAUAUUUUCUUUAUAAGUUAUCCAGUCUCAGAUAUGUAUGUAUGCAUUUAUUUAUUUUUAUUUUUUUUUUCUAGACAGAGUCUCACUCUGUCACCCAGGCUGGAGCGCAGUGAUGCAAUCUCAGCUCUCUGCAACCUCUGCUUCCUGGAUUCAAGUGAUCCUCCUACCUCAGCCUCCUGAGUAGCUGGGGCUACAGGCACACAGCACUGCACCAGCUAAUUUUUGUAUUAUUUGUAGAGGCGGGUUUUUGCCAUGUUGCCAAGGUUGGUCUCAAACCUCUGAGCUCAAGUGAUAUCACCACCUUGGCCUCCCAAAAUGCUGGGAUUAUAGAUGUUAGCCACCAUCCUAAGUCCAGUAUUUCUUUACAGCAAUGCAAGAACAUUUUAACACAGUACAAAAAAUUUAGAGAUCUUUCUGGGUGCUAAAUUUUGGCUUCUAAGUGAAUACUUCACAUAGGCAGACAGUAAAGUUUAUAGCCCAAGAGAGAAAAGUCAAGAGUAACAUACAUUUGUGAGAUGUGAUCUACAGAGAUAUCUUUAAAGCUAUUCACGUUUAUGUUACUUUGUAGAAUGAAAGUAUAGAUGAUGAAGGAUAGUUAAAACCAAGCCCAACAAACAGUCCUUCAAUAUAAGUUUUACCUGGUAAGGAAAAAAUAGACUUUACCACUAUGCAACAUAUCCAAGUAACAAAAUUACACUUGUACACCUUAAAUUUAUAGAGAUAAAAAAAAAAAGACCAGAGUGAUAAUAUUCAUUGACAUAGAAUAAAAAUAUGGUGUGACAAAAUAUUUUGUUUUGUUUUCUCAGAGUGACUGUACUAAAAUGUACAAAGAAGAAAAAAAUGCCAUUUGUAUACAGAAGAGUGACAUUUUCUAUUAAAUGUAAAAUUUUAAAGUUUGUCAUAAUACUCCUUAAGUAAAAGUAUUAACCCUCUAAAAGACUGAUUGCUGUCCAUUCUUCUUUGUACCUUCAUAUGCUAAUUUCAUCAUUCAUUUCUCAGUAAUGUUCUAUUCAAAGAAGAAUAGAUAGUAAUCAAACAACAGUUUUCAUUAAAAUAAAUUUUAUAAAGGCAAAUAUAUGCAAUUGUUUUCCAAUGUAAUAGGAAAACUAUUAUUCAAUUUUUAGAUUGCAAUAUAGUGUAAAAUUUUCAAACAGUUGAAAAUUGUACUUAAUUUGUAAGUACUCAGAAACUGCAAUGUGUUAGAUAAGUGUCAAUAUCAUAUAUGUUUGUAAUAUAUUGAUAGAAUUAAAUUUUAUUACAGUUUAUACAAUAUGAAAUAAAAUAAAUAUGUGUAUACAUGUAUAUGUGUAUCCAUGUUUACACAGUAUGAAAUACUAUAAUAAAAUAAAUAUGUGUAUACACAUGCAAACGCUAGCAGACUGUCUUCACAUGGGCUUUCUGGCCACAAUCCAAACAUUUAGACAAAAAUAUGCUGUUUCUUUGUUCACUGACUUUCCUGUCUUUUCCUGUUGCUGAUGAUCUGCAUUUUCUACUUUCCUAUUCCCUUCAGGAUCUAUCUAAUGUAUGAAUAGGGAUAGUGGUGGUAAAUCAAACCAAUUAUUCUCUGUUAAUUCAUUAGCCAGAUAAUGUGUUACCUCUCCAAGGGAAUGUAAUGCCUAACUCUCUGUAUACAUCCCCUAUAAAGUGUCUACAGGGAAAAACACUAAUGGUGGGAAUUUUAAAAGAUUCAACUAGGAGUUAAUUUAUUCAAAGGGGAUUUUCUUAGAAUCCCUCAAAUCACAUUAAUAGAGUAGCUGCCUGCCCUAAUUAUGCAUAAAUCAAUGCCACAUUCUAGAAGUUACUCAAGGAAUGGGCACAUAUUUAGUAUGUUGACUUCUAAAAAGGGCAGCAAACAAAACACUUUUUGUCAUUAUUAGUGAUGAUGUUUAUUAUCACCAAAGUUUUAAUAAAACUGGAUUUAAAUUUAAUUGUUAUAGAAGAUUUGUAAAUAUAAUCUCUUUUUAUAGUCAUGCAUAAUGAUCUAUGCAUAAUGUUUUAUGUGGCAAAUAUGAAAUGUAAAAUAAAAUCAUCCCUAAUUGAUUUCUGAUAAAUAUGUAAUCUAUUACCAACCUCAGGCUCAUAAGACUUGUCUGUAGUAAUUACUACUUGUGAAGAAUGAAUGAACACAAGGAGGAUGAUUAAAUUAAUAUUCUUACUUUACUGUAUGUAUUGUCUAAUUUCAGAGUUUCUUCCAAUAUCAAAACUUCAAUAAUCAUCUAUCUCUAUGCAAAUUAUCUUUCAUCUGAGCUUGGGGCAUUUUUUUAAAAAUUGUGACUGGGCAAUCUGUUAAUACUGCUAAUAAGAAAUUUAUACACAAUAUGGAUACAACUUAUAACAUUAUGUUCAUUAACUAAAAAAAGUCUUUUUCUCUUUUGAUUUGUUCAUCUUAAAGUUUAUUACUGCAUUAAUUGUUUAUGUCCUAUAUGCAACCAGUUCAUAAAUCAGUUUGGCAUUAUGGUUUCAGUACAUAUCAUCAAUUUUUCCUCUCUGUCCCAUUCCAAUCACCAUUAUGCUGUGUAUUUGUUGGGUUAUGUUCCCUGCUAGUGUGACUUCUCAAUCAUAGCCACCCUCCAGACUAUACAUUGUGACAAAGUUAAAUAUGAGUUCUUAAAUCAAUACUUCUCAAAUCUAAAAAUAGAAGUAUAUAUGGAAGUCUUGAUUAAAGGUAAAUGUAAUAGUUCAGUACUAUGAGGAAACUAGAGUGUUUUCUAUAAACGGUGUUGAGACAAUUGCAAAUCCAUGUGGAAAAAUAUAUAUAUCUUGGCCACUACUUCACACUAUGUACAAAAAAGAAAUUCUAGAUUUGCAGAUCUAGAUGUAAAAAGGAAACAAUAAUUAAAUAGCGAAAUAGAAUAUUUUUGUGAUAUAAGCAAAGUGUUCUUAAACUGAAAACAGAAGUGCUAAUUUUAAGAGCAAAAUAAUUUAUAAAUUAGACUGAAUUAAGGCUAAACUCUUAUUUAUCAAAAGACAUACUAAAAGGUAAAAGGCAAGGAACAUCAUAAGAGAUGACUACACAAUACUUAACUACAACCAUGUAUAUCCAGAAUAUAUAAACAAUUUCAACAGAUGAAUGGAAAAGAAGACAGAAAAUCAAAUAUGGAUAUGGACAAAAGUCAAAAGAAUUAAUGGAGUUAUAAGGAGAAGGCAAAUUCAAAACACAAUGAUAUACUACUACAUACUCAUCAUAAUGGUAAAAAUGAAAAAGAAAGAAAAUGCUAACUUUGGUGAGGAUGUAGAAUUCUCACGGUGGUGAUAACAUAUAUUGAUGUAAUUACAUUGGGAAGCUCUUUGGUUUUAUCUACCAAAACAGGAUAUAUGAAUCAGAAAUUCUGCACCAAAGUAUAUAUCCAACAGAAAAACAUAAGUUUACCAUAGGACAUAUACUAGAAUCUUCACAGCAGUAUUAUUCAUAGUAGCUAAAAAAUGGCAAAAUGCCCAAAUGCUUAACAGUAAAAUAGACAUAUAUAUUUUUCACAAUGGAAUACUAUAUGAUAAUCAAAAUAAAUAAUUUAUUACUGCAUGUACAAUAUGUAUAAAUAUCCAUAUAUCAAAUUAACCACAGUAAACUAGACACAAAAGAGAAAAUUAGCAUGAUUUCAUCUAUGUAAAAAAUAAAAUCUAUAAUACAUACAAUGAAAUAUUAUUCAGCCACAAAAGCAAAUAAAUUUUUGAUACACACUACAGCAUGAAAAACGUUGAAAGCAUCAUGCAAAGUGAA